AGUGGGGAAUAUUGGGCAAUGGGCGCAAGCCUGACCCAGCGACGCCGUGUGCGGGAAGACGGCCUUAGGGUUGUAAACCGCUGUUGUACGGGAAGAAGGAAUUGACAGUACCGUACGAGUAAGGUCCGGCUAACUACGUGCCAGCAGCCGCGGUAAUACGUAGGGACCGAGCGUUAUCCGGAAUUACUGGGCGUAAAGGGCACGCAGGCGGUCAUGCAAGUCAGCUGUUAAAUGUGGGGGCUUAACCCUUACGAGCGGUUGAAACUGUGUGACUUGAGUACUGGAGAGGUAAGCGGAAUUCCCGGUGUAGCGGUGAAAUGCGUAGAUAUCGGGAAGAACACCAGUGGCGAAGGCGGCUUACUGGCCAGUAACUGACGCUGAGGUGCGAAAGCCAGGGUAGCGAACCGGAUUAGAUACCCGGGUAGUCCUGGCCGUAAACGCUGAAUGCUAGGUGUGGGUGGGUAGAACCAUCCGUGCCGGAGUUAACGCGAUAAGCAUUCCGCCUGGGGAUUACGACCGCAAGGUUG
rnacentral:rRNA from 1 species